UACAGAGGCCUCGAGCGUUAAUCGGAAUCACUGGGCUUAAAGGGUGCGUAGGCGGCGCUGCAAGUGCCUUGUGAAAUCCCAUCGCUUAACGAUGGAACUGCUCGGUAGACUGCAGUGCUUGAGGUUGGUAGGGGCUGCCGGAACUCUAGGUGGAGCGGUGAAAUGCGUAGAUAUCUAGAGGAACGCCCAAGGCGAAGGCAGGCAGCUGGGCCAAUUCUGACGCUGAGGCACGAAAGCGUGGGGAGCAAACGGG
rnacentral:rRNA from 1 species